UGCAAAGGAUGAUAUCUGUCACGACGGUCUUCUAAUGCCAAUAGCAGCUGAUGACAAUGUGAUAUCUGAUGCAAGGAG
rfam:Nematostella vectensis strain CH2 x CH6 NEMVEscaffold_8_Cont1704, whole genome shotgun sequence.